GACGGAGGAUGCAAGCGUUAUCCGGAAUUAUUGGGCGUAAAGCGUCCGCAGGUGGCCUAUCAAGUCUGCUGUCAAAGACCGGGGCUUAACCCCAGAAAGGCAGUGGAAACUGAAAGGCUAGAGGAUGGUAGGGGCAGAGGGAAUUCCCAGUGUAGCGGUGAAAUGCGUAGAGAUCGGAAAGAACACCAACGGCGAAAGCACUCUGCUGGGCCGACACUGACACUGAGAGACGAAAGCUAGGGGAGCGAAUGGG
rnacentral:rRNA from 1 species